rnacentral:rRNA from 1 species
GGUUAAGCGACUAAGCGUACACGGUGGAUGCCCUGGCAGUCAGAGGCGAUGAAGGACGUGCUAAUCUGCGAAAAGCGUCGGUAAGGUGAUAUGAACCGUUACAGCCGGCGAUGUCCGAAUGGGGAAACCCAGUGCAAUUCGUUGCACUAUCGUUAACUGAAUACAUAGGUUAACGAGGCGAACCGGGGGAACUGAAACAUCUAAGUACCCCGAGGAAAAGAAAUCAACCGAGAUUCCCCCAGUAGCGGCGAGCGAACGGGGAGCAGCCCAGAGUCUGAAUCAGCUUGUGUGUUAGUGGAACGGUCUGGAAAGUCCGACGGUACAGGGUGAUAGUCCCGUACACCAAAAUGCACAGGCUGUGAACUCGAAGAGUAGGGCGGGACACGUGGUAUCCUGUCUGAAUAUGGGGGGACCAUCCUCCAAGGCUAAAUACUCCUGACUGACCGAUAGUGAACCAGUACCGUGAGGGAAAGGCGAAAAGAACCCCGGCGAGGGGAGUGAAAAAGAACCUGAAACCGUGUACGUACAAGCAGUGGGAGCACCUUCGGGUGUGACUGCGUACCUUUUGUAUAAUGGGUCAGCGACUUAUAUUCUGUAGCAAGGUUAACCGUAUAGGGGAGCCGCAGGGAAACCGAGUCUUAACUGGGCGUUAAGUUGCAGGGUAUAGACCCGAAACCCGGUGAUCUAGCCAUGGGCAGGUUGAAGGUUGGGUAACACUAACUGGAGGACCGAACCGACUAAUGUUGAAAAAUUAGCGGAUGACUUGUGGCUGGGGGUGAAAGGCCAAUCAAACCGGGAGAUAGCUGGUUCUCCCCGAAAGCUAUUUAGGUAGCGCCUCGUGAAUUCAUCUUCGGGGGUAGAGCACUGUUUCGGCUAGGGGGUCAUCCCGACUUACCAACCCGAUGCAAACUACGAAUACCGAAGAAUGUUAUCACGGGAGACACACGGCGGGUGCUAACGUCCGUCGUGAAGAGGGAAACAACCCAGACCGCCAGCUAAGGUCCCAAAGUCACAGUUAAGUGGGAAACGAUGUGGGAAGGCACAGACAGCCAGGAUGUUGGCUUAGAAGCAGCCAUCAUUUAAAGAAAGCGUAAUAGCUCACUGGUCGAGUCGGCCUGCGCGGAAGAUGUAACGGGGCUAAACUGUGCACCGAAGCUGCGGCAGCGACACUAUGUGUUGUUGGGUAGGGGAGCGUUCUGUAAGCCUGCGAAGGUGGCCUGUGAGGGUUGCUGGAGGUAUCAGAAGUGCGAAUGCUGACAUAAGUAACGAUAAUGCGGGUGAAAAGCCCGCACGCCGGAAGACCAAGGGUUCCUGUCCAACGUUAAUCGGGGCAGGGUGAGUCGACCCCUAAGGCGAGGCCGAAAGGCGUAGUCGAUGGGAAACAGGUUAAUAUUCCUGUACUUGGUGUUACUGCGAAGGGGGGACGGAGAAGGCUAUGUUAGCCGGGCGACGGUUGUCCCGGUUUAAGCAUGUAGGCGGAGGUUCCAGGUAAAUCCGGUACCUUUUUAACGCUGAGGUGUGAUGACGAGGCACUACGGUGCUGAAGUAACAAAUGCCCUGCUUCCAGGAAAAGCCUCUAAGCAUCAGGUAACAUUAAAUCGUACCCCAAACCGACACAGGUGGUCAGGUAGAGAAUACCAAGGCGCUUGAGAGAACUCGGGUGAAGGAACUAGGCAAAAUGGUGCCGUAACUUCGGGAGAAGGCACGCUGAUAUGUAGGUGAAGCCCCUGCGGGUGGAGCUGAAAUCAGUCGAAGAUACCAGCUGGCUGCAACUGUUUAUUAAAAACACAGCACUGUGCAAACACGAAAGUGGACGUAUACGGUGUGACGCCUGCCCGGUGCCGGAAGGUUAAUUGAUGGGGUUAUCCGUAAGGAGAAGCUCUUGAUCGAAGCCCCGGUAAACGGCGGCCGUAACUAUAACGGUCCUAAGGUAGCGAAAUUCCUUGUCGGGUAAGUUCCGACCUGCACGAAUGGCGUAAUGAUGGCCAGGCUGUCUCCACCCGAGACUCAGUGAAAUUGAACUCGCUGUGAAGAUGCAGUGUACCCGCGGCAAGACGGAAAGACCCCGUGAACCUUUACUAUAGCUUGACACUGAACAUUGAGCCUUGAUGUGUAGGAUAGGUGGGAGGCUUUGAAGCGUGGACGCCAGUCUGCGUGGAGCCAACCUUGAAAUACCACCCUUUAAUGUUUGAUGUUCUAACGUUGGCCCCUUAUCGGGGUUGCGGACAGUGUCUGGUGGGUAGUUUGACUGGGGCGGUCUCCUCCCAAAGAGUAACGGAGGAGCACGAAGGUUAGCUAAUCCUGGUCGGACAUCAGGAGGUUAGUGCAAUGGCAUAAGCUAGCUUGACUGCGAGCGUGACGGCGCGAGCAGGUGCGAAAGCAGGUCAUAGUGAUCCGGUGGUUCUGAAUGGAAGGGCCAUCGCUCAACGGAUAAAAGGUACUCCGGGGAUAACAGGCUGAUACCGCCCAAGAGUUCAUAUCGACGGCGGUGUUUGGCACCUCGAUGUCGGCUCAUCACAUCCUGGGGCUGAAGUAGGUCCCAAGGGUAUGGCUGUUCGCCAUUUAAAGUGGUACGCGAGCUGGGUUUAGAACGUCGUGAGACAGUUCGGUCCCUAUCUGCCGUGGGCGCUGGAGAAUUGAGGGGGGCUGCUCCUAGUACGAGAGGACCGGAGUGGACGCAUCACUGGUGUUCGGGUUGUCAUGCCAAUGGCAUUGCCCGGUAGCUAAAUGCGGAAGAGAUAAGUGCUGAAAGCAUCUAAGCACGAAACUUGC